rnacentral:rRNA from 1 species
UUUACGGAGAGUUUGAUCCUGGCUCAGAACGAACGCUGGCGGCGUGCUUAAUACAUGCAAGUCGUACGAGAAAGUCUGGCUUCGGCCGGGCAAGUAAAGUGGCGAACGGGUGAGUAACACGUGGGUAAUCUGCCUUUGAGUUUGGGAUAAGCCUCCGAAAGGGGGUCUAAUACCGAAUGAUAUCUUUGGAUGGCAUCUUUCAAAGAUCAAAGAAGGGGCAACCUUUCGCUCAUAGAUGAGCCCGCGCACCAUUAGCUUGUUGGUAGGGUAACGGCCUACCAAGGCUGCGAUGGUUAGCCGGCCUGAGAGGGUGAUCGGCCACACUGGGACUGAGAUACGGCCCAGACUCCUACGGGAGGCAGCAGUAGGGAAUAUUGCGCAAUGGACGAAAGUCUGACGCAGCAACGCCGCGUGGAUGAUGAAGCUCCUUGGAGUGUAAAAUCCUGUCAGUGGGGAAGAAACGGCUGAGGAGUAACUGCCUCAGCUCUGACGGUACCCGCAGAGGAAGUUCCGGCCAACUCCGUGCCAGCAGCCGCGGUAAUACGGGGGGAACGAGCGUUGUUCGGAUUCACUGGGCGUAAAGGGCGUGUAGGCGGAUUUUCAAGUCAAAUGUGAAAACCGGCGGCUCAACCUCCGGCCUGCAUUUGAAACUGUUAAUCUUGAGUACGGAAGAGGAGAGUGGAAUUCCAGGUGUAGCGGUGACAUGCGUAGAUAUCUGGAAGAACACCGGUGGCGAAGGCGGCUCUCUGGUCCGAUACUGACGCUGAGGCGCGAAAGCUAGGGGAGCAAACAGGAUUAGAUACCCUGGUAGUCCUAGCCGUAAACGAUGGGCACUAGGUGUUGGGGGUGUCGACUCCCUCAGUGCCGAAGCUAACGCAUUAAGUGCCCCGCCUGGGGAGUACGGUCGCAAGGCUGAAACUCAAAAGAAUUGACGGGGGCCCGCACAAGCGGUGGAGUAUGUGGUUCAAUUCGAGGCAACGCGAAGAACCUUACCUGGGUUUGACAUACACCGGACAACGUCUGAAAGGACGUCUCCCCUUCGGGGGUCGGUGAACAGGUGCUGCAUGGCUGUCGUCAGCUCGUGCCGUGAGGUGUUGGGUUAAGUCCCGCAACGAGCGCAACCCCUACCCUUAGUUGCCAUCAGGUAAUGCUGGGAACUCUAGGGGGACUGCCAGUGAUAAGCUGGAGGAAGGUGGGGAUGAUGUCAAGUCAUCAUGGCCCUUACGCCCAGGGCUACACACGUACUACAAUGGCCGGUACAGAGGGCUGCAAUGCCGCGAGGUGGAGCUAAUCCCUAAAACCGGUCUCAGUUCAGAUUGGAGUCUGCAACUCGACUCCAUGAAGUCGGAAUCGCUAGUAAUCGCAUAUCAGCACGAUGCGGUGAAUACGUUCCCGGGCCUUGUACACACCGCCCGUCAAGCCACGGAAGUUGGGAGCACCCGAAGUCGUUUGCCUAACCGCAAGGAAGGCGGCGCCUAAGGUGAAACUGAUGACUGGGGCUAAGUCGUAACAAGGUAGCCGUAGCGGAAGCUGCGGCUGGAUCACCUCCUUUCUA